GGCUAACGCUGGCGGCGUGUCUUAGCCAUGCAAGUCGAGCGGACUUAUGGGGUAACUUAUAAGUCAGCGGCGGACGGCGGAGUAACACGUAGCUAACCUACCCUCUGGACGGGGAUAACCUACCGAAAGGUGGGCUAAUACCCGAUGUAGUCAUCCUGUAUAGGGGUGAUGAAAGGUGGGCUUCUGUUUACAAGCUCAUGCUGGAGGAGGGGGCUGCGGCCUAUCAGGUAGUUGGUAGGGUAAUAGCCUACCAAGCCGAUGACGGGUAGCCGGCCUGAGAGGGUGACCGGCCACAUUGGGACUGAGACACGGCCCAGACUCCUACGGGAGGCAGCAGUGGGGAAUAUUGCACAAUGGAGGAAACUCUGAUGCAGCGACGCCGCGUGAGUGAAGAAGUAAUUCGUUAUGUAAAGCUCUAUCAGCAGGGAAGAUAGUGACGGUACCUGACUAAGAAGCUCCGGCUAAAUACGUGCCAGCAGCCGCGGUAAAG
rnacentral:rRNA from 1 species